GAUGAACGCUGGCGGCGUGCCUAAUACAUGCAAGUCGAGCGAACGGACGAGAAGCUUGCUUUUCUGAUGUUAGCGGCGGACGGGUGAGUAACACGUGGAUAACCUACCUAUAAGACUGGGAUAACUUCGGGAAACCGGAGCUAAUACCGGAUAAUAUUUUGAACCGCAUGGUUCAAAAGUGAAAGACGGUCUUGCUGUCACUUAUAGAUGGAUCCGCGCUGCAUUAGCUAGUUGGUAAGGUAACGGCUUACCAAGGCAACGAUGCAUAGCCGACCUGAGAGGGUGAUCGGCCACACUGGAACUGAGACACGGUCCAGACUCCUACGGGAGGCAGCAGUAGGGAAUCUUCCGCAAUGGGCGAAAGCCUGACGGAGCAACGCCGCGUGAGUGAUGAAGGUCUUCGGAUCGUAAAACUCUGUUAUUAGGGAAGAACAUAUGUGUAAGUAACUGUGCACAUCUUGACGGUACCUAAUCAGAAAGCCACGGCUAACUACGUGCCAGCAGCCGCGGUAAUACGUAGGUGGCAAGCGUUAUCCGGAAUUAUUGGGCGUAAAGCGCGCGUAGGCGGUUUUUUAAGUCUGAUGUGAAAGCCCACGGCUCAACCGUGGAGGGUCAUUGGAAACUGGAAAACUUGAGUGCAGAAGAGGAAAGUGGAAUUCCAUGUGUAGCGGUGAAAUGCGCAGAGAUGUGGAGGAACACCAGUGGCGAAGGCGACUUUCUGGUCUGUAACUGACGCUGAUGUGCGAAAGCGUGGGGAUCAAACAGGAUUAGAUACCCUGGUAGUCCACGCCGUAAACGAUGAGUGCUAAGUGUUAGGGGGUUUCCGCCCCUUAGUGCUGCAGCUAACGCAUUAAGCACUCCGCCUGGGGAGUACGACCGCAAGGUUGAAACUCAAAGGAAUUGACGGGGGCCCGCACAAGCGGUGGAGCAUGUGGUUUAAUCCGAAGCAACGCGAAGAACCUUACCAAAUCUUGACAUCCUUUGACAACUCUAGAGAUAGAGCCUUCCCCUUCGGGGGACAAAGUGACAGGUGGUGCAUGGUUGUCGUCAGCUCGUGUCGUGAGAUGUUGGGUUAAGUCCCGCAACGAGCGCAACCCUUAAGCUUAGUUGCCAUCAUUAAGUUGGGCACUCUAAGUUGACUGCCGGUGACAAACCGGAGGAAGGUGGGGAUGACGUCAAAUCAUCAUGCCCCUUAUGAUUUGGGCUACACACGUGCUACAAUGGACAAUACAAAGGGCAGCGAAACCGCGAGGUCAAGCAAAUCCCAUAAAGUUGUUCUCAGUUCGGAUUGUAGUCUGCAACUCGACUACAUGAAGCUGGAAUCGCUAGUAAUCGUAGAUCAGCAUGCUACGGUGAAUACGUUCCCGGGUCU
rnacentral:rRNA from 1 species